CGGUAAAAUCCUAUCCGAAAAUGUACUGUGAGUCGAAAGCACGCGACCGAGCAUUAGCGGCCAGCGUCUGUCAGUUCUAAAUAUUGAUUUACGACGAUGUAAGCGACCUACAGUGCAGAGUGCAUUAGAAAUCACCGAAGCGUGCAACUAGAAUGGAUUGUUGCAAUUAUCUGGGCCUUUCUGUCAGGAAAAAGGUGUGAACAACAGUCAUUUAAUUGAACCUGGAAAUCAUCCACCACUAACAGAAAACUUGUGAACAACAGAAGCUGAUGUAUAUCAUGUCCAAAUGACCAAAUAUAACUGGUAAACAAUUUGAAGUGAGAUGCUUUAUUUUCUGAUUCCCUUUCAAAUGAUGAACAUUGGUGUGAUUUUAUGUUUAAAUAAUUAAUUUCGAAACAUUUAUGCAGCAUACUGUUAAAUACAUUGAUGUUAACAUUAUUAUAUUAUUUUGGUUAUCUGUGUUGUUUAUCAAGUUGAAAAAAAUGUUAUUUAUAUACAAAUAAAGCUUAUUAAGACUUA